CUUGGGCCAGAUGAUAUCACACACUCAAGGCUAUUGGCACUGAUUAUGGCAGAGAUGCAGUAUAGAACACCUGCCACACCCCAAUCCUCCCAAUAGAAGGAUAAUAAGAACAUCUUGGUUUGCUACGGAGCAUUGGUAGAGCUUCAGCAGCUGACCAUGGGAUACCAAGAAACUAUGCCACCUUAUGGCAAUUCAGGCUGCAGAUCCCAAAACAAGAUUUAAAAUGCAGACUUGUUGGGAGAAAUAAGGGACAGGGAGUAGGGGGAAGCUGUGAGUAGGAGUAACUAGGGAGAGCAUUCAUUCAGAGCACAUCACAAUAAAGAUGUGAUAAGGAAAAGAGAGAGAGGAGGCAGGAGGAUUGAAUAGAAUAGCCCCAGAUUGUAACGCAACUCUGAGAAAUUUUUUUUCUUUUUUUCUCCUAGGCUGUUGGGAGGCUCAGGACAAAAAUUUACUAUUAGUGUCCAGCACUGAGCAGAAAUGACUCAACUCUAGUAUUCCUGCUGUGCCCAGUCAUUCACUAGGAGCAGCCCAGAGUCAGCAGGACCUUGAUGUUGAUACUGAAGCAGAUCCUAAGUUGAAGAAGGACAUGUUUGCUUCCCUUUCUGCCGAGAUUAUAAGUUUCCUGAGGCCUCCCCAGCCAAGUGGAACUGUGAGUCAACUAAAUCUCUUUUCUAUAUAAAUUAUCCAGUCUUGGGCAAUUAUUUAUAGCAGCACGAGAACGGAUUAAUACAGUAAAUUGGUACUGCAGAGAGUAGGGUGCUGCUGUGAAAAAUACCCCAAAAUGUGGAAGCAACUUUGGAAGUGGGUAACAGGUAGAGGUUGGAACAGUUUGGAUGGCUCAGAAGAAGGGAAAUAAUGUGGAAAAGUUUGGAACUUCCUAGAGACAUGGAGGGCCCAGAAGACAGAAAGAUGUGGGAAAGUUUGGAAUUACUUAGAUUU
rnacentral:lncRNA from 1 species